GGGUUGUGAGGUUAAGCGACUAAGCGUACACGGUGGAUGCCCUGGCAGUCAGAGGCGAUGAAGGACGUGCUAAUCUGCGAUAAGCGUCGGUAAGGUGAUAUGAACCGUUAUAACCGGCGAUUUCCGAAUGGGGAAACCCAGUGUGAUUCGUCACACUAUCAUUAACUGAAUCCAUAGGUUAAUGAGGCGAACCGGGGGAACUGAAACAUCUAAGUACCCCGAGGAAAAGAAAUCAACCGAGAUUCCCCCAGUAGCGGCGAGCGAACGGGGAGCAGCCCAGAGCCUGAAUCAGUGUGUGUGUUAGUGGAAGCGUCUGGAAAGGCGCGCGAUACAGGGUGACAGCCCCGUACACAAAAAUGCACAUAUUGUGAGCUCGAUGAGUAGGGCGGGACACGUGGUAUCCUGUCUGAAUAUGGGGGGACCAUCCUCCAAGGCUAAAUACUCCUGACUGACCGAUAGUGAACCAGUACCGUGAGGGAAAGGCGAAAAGAACCCCGGCGAGGGGAGUGAAAAAGAACCUGAAACCGUGUACGUACAAGCAGUGGGAGCACGCUUAGGCGUGUGACUGCGUACCUUUUGUAUAAUGGGUCAGCGACUUAUAUUCUGUAGCAAGGUUAACCGAAUAGGGGAGCCGAAGGGAAACCGAGUCUUAACUGGGCGUUAAGUUGCAGGGUAUAGACCCGAAACCCGGUGAUCUAGCCAUGGGCAGGUUGAAGGUUGGGUAACACUAACUGGAGGACCGAACCGACUAAUGUUGAAAAAUUAGCGGAUGACUUGUGGCUGGGGGUGAAAGGCCAAUCAAACCGGGAGAUAGCUGGUUCUCCCCGAAAGCUAUUUAGGUAGCGCCUCGUGAAUUCAUCUCCGGGGGUAGAGCACUGUUUCGGCAAGGGGGUCAUCCCGACUUACCAACCCGAUGCAAACUGCGAAUACCGGAGAAUGUUAUCACGGGAGACACACGGCGGGUGCUAACGUCCGUCGUGAAGAGGGAAACAACCCAGACCGCCAGCUAAGGUCCCAAAGUCAUGGUUAAGUGGGAAACGAUGUGGGAAGGCCCAGACAGCCAGGAUGUUGGCUUAGAAGCAGCCAUCAUUUAAAGAAAGCGUAAUAGCUCACUGGUCGAGUCGGCCUGCGCGGAAGAUGUAACGGGGCUAAACCAUGCACCGAAGCUGCGGCAGCGACGCUUAUGCGUUGUUGGGUAGGGGAGCGUUCUGUAAGCCUGCGAAGGUGUGCUGUGAGGCAUGCUGGAGGUAUCAGAAGUGCGAAUGCUGACAUAAGUAACGAUAAAGCGGGUGAAAAGCCCGCUCGCCGGAAGACCAAGGGUUCCUGUCCAACGUUAAUCGGGGCAGGGUGAGUCGACCCCUAAGGCGAGGCCGAAAGGCGUAGUCGAUGGGAAACAGGUUAAUAUUCCUGUACUUGGUGUUACUGCGAAGGGGGGACGGAGAAGGCUAUGUUGGCCGGGCGACGGUUGUCCCGGUUUAAGCGUGUAGGCUGGUUUUCCAGGCAAAUCCGGAAAACUAAGGCUGAGGCGUGAUGACGAGGCACUACGGUGCUGAAGCAACAAAUGCCCUGCUUCCAGGAAAAGCCUCUAAGCAUCAGGUAACAUCAAAUCGUACCCCAAACCGACACAGGUGGUCAGGUAGAGAAUACCAAGGCGCUUGAGAGAACUCGGGUGAAGGAACUAGGCAAAAUGGUGCCGUAACUUCGGGAGAAGGCACGCUGAUAUGUAGGUGAAGUCCCUCGCGGAUGGAGCUGAAAUCAGUCGAAGAUACCAGCUGGCUGCAACUGUUUAUUAAAAACACAGCACUGUGCAAACACGAAAGUGGACGUAUACGGUGUGACGCCUGCCCGGUGCCGGAAGGUUAAUUGAUGGGGUUAGCGCAAGCGAAGCUCUUGAUCGAAGCCCCGGUAAACGGCGGCCGUAACUAUAACGGUCCUAAGGUAGCGAAAUUCCUUGUCGGGUAAGUUCCGACCUGCACGAAUGGCGUAAUGAUGGCCAGGCUGUCUCCACCCGAGACUCAGUGAAAUUGAACUCGCUGUGAAGAUGCAGUGUACCCGCGGCAAGACGGAAAGACCCCGUGAACCUUUACUAUAGCUUGACACUGAACAUUGAGCCUUGAUGUGUAGGAUAGGUGGGAGGCUUUGAAGUGUGGACGCCAGUCUGCAUGGAGCCGACCUUGAAAUACCACCCUUUAAUGUUUGAUGUUCUAACGUUGACCCGUAAUCCGGGUUGCGGACAGUGUCUGGUGGGUAGUUUGACUGGGGCGGUCUCCUCCUAAAGAGUAACGGAGGAGCACGAAGGUUGGCUAAUCCUGGUCGGACAUCAGGAGGUUAGUGCAAUGGCAUAAGCCAGCUUGACUGCGAGCGUGACGGCGCGAGCAGGUGCGAAAGCAGGUCAUAGUGAUCCGGUGGUUCUGAAUGGAAGGGCCAUCGCUCAACGGAUAAAAGGUACUCCGGGGAUAACAGGCUGAUACCGCCCAAGAGUUCAUAUCGACGGCGGUGUUUGGCACCUCGAUGUCGGCUCAUCACAUCCUGGGGCUGAAGUAGGUCCCAAGGGUAUGGCUGUUCGCCAUUUAAAGUGGUACGCGAGCUGGGUUUAGAACGUCGUGAGACAGUUCGGUCCCUAUCUGCCGUGGGCGCUGGAGAAUUGAGGGGGGCUGCUCCUAGUACGAGAGGACCGGAGUGGACGCAUCACUGGUGUUCGGGUUGUCAUGCCAAUGGCACUGCCCGGUAGCUAAAUGCGGAAGAGAUAAGUGCUGAAAGCAUCUAAGCACGAAACUUGCCCCGAGAUGAGUUCUCCCUGACUCCUUGAGAGUCCUGAAGGAACGUUGAAGACGACGACGUUGAUAGGCCGGGUGUGUAAGCGCAGCGAUGCGUUGAGCUAACCGGUACUAAUGAACCGUGAGGCUUAACCUUACAACGCCGAAGGUGUUU
rnacentral:rRNA from 1 species